rnacentral:rRNA from 1 species
UACGUAGGGGGCUAGCGUUGUCCGGAAUCACUGGGCGUAAAGCGCACGUAGGCGGGUCUUUAAGUCAGGGGUGAAAUCCUGGAGCUCAACUCCAGAACUGCCUUUGAUACUGAGGAUCUCGAGUCCGGGAGAGGUGAGUGGAACUCCGAGUGUAGAGGUGAAAUUCGUAGAUAUUCGGAAGAACACCAGUGGCGAAGGCGGCUCACUGGCCCGAUACUGACGCUGAGGCACGAAAGCGUGGGGAGCAAACAGG